UACGAAGGGUGCAAGCGUUACUCGGAAUUACUGGGGCGUAAAGCGUGCGUAGGUGGUUUGUUAAGUCUGCUGUGAAAGCCCCGGGCUCAACCUGGGAAUGGCAGUGGAUACUGGCAAGCUAGAGUGCGGUAGAGGGUAGUGGAAUUCCCCGGUGUAGCGGUGAAAUGCGUAGAGAUCGGGAGGAACACCAGUGGCGAAGGCGGCUACCUGGACCAGCACUGACACUCAGGCACGAAAGCGUGGGGGAGCAAACAGG
rnacentral:rRNA from 1 species